rnacentral:lncRNA from 1 species
GGCUUGGGGAGCAGCCGUUGGCUCUGGUGCCCCUGGGGGUGGGAGCACGAGUGGGCAAGGAUGAUGGUGAGGCAGAGGAGGCGGCCCCGACCCGGCGAGCUCGAGGGAGCGCCCGGCUGAGAGGCGGGGGGCCGAGGGGCCCGGGGAGCGGGCGCCACCGAGGGCCCUGGAAGCGGCAGGGCUUGGGGAGAGGAGACGCGUGUGUGGAGCGUGGGGACCCCAGCCCAGCUCCCACUUGCAGACCUGGGCCGCGGGCUGCCGGCCGAGUGGCCGGGGGGCCUGGCUGCCCAGGAGGCGGGCCGGGGCCGCGGCCGGGGGCGCGGAGCGGAGUUAGGGUCACCAGGCCGAGCAGAGGUGGGACGGACCGACGCAGAGAGGAAGGGAAGCCACCUGGCCUGAAGAUCCUGUCUCUAAGAUCCCAUUCUGAGGCUUCGAGGGUCUGGCUUGAGCAGCACAGACAGGGACGUGUCUAACCGGGAUGACCAUGAGGUCUCAUCGCAGUUUGCCACUAACCAGGUCCACGCUGCUUUUAUGAGCUGUAACACUCACCGCGAAGAUCUGCAGCUUCACUCCUGAGCCCAGCGAGACCACGAGCCCACCGGGAGGAGCGGACAACUCCAGACGCACCACCUUAAGAGCUGUAACACUCACCGCGAAGGUC